rnacentral:rRNA from 1 species
CCUACGGGAGGCUGCAGUGAGGAAUAUUGGUCAAUGGGCGCUAGCCUGAACCAGCCAAGUAGCGUGAAGGAUGACUGCCCUAUGGGUUGUAAACUUCUUUUAUAUGGGAAUAAAGUGCAGUAUGUAUACUGCUUUGCAUGUACCUUAUGAAUAAGGAUCGGCUAACUCCGUGCCAGCAGCCGCGGUAAUUCGGAGGAUCCGAGCGUUAUCCGGAUUUAUUGGGUUUAAAGGGAGCGUAGGCGGGUUGUUAAGUCAGUUGUGAAAGUUUGCGGCUCAACCGUAAAAUUGCAGUUGAUACUGGCAAACUUGAGUACAGUAGAGGUAGGCGGAAUUCGUGGUGUAGCGGUGAAAUGCUUAGAUAUCACGAAGAACACCGAUUGCGAAGGCAGCCUGCUGGACUGUAACUGACGCUGAUGCGCGAAAGCGUGGGUAGCAAACAGGAUUAGAUACCCUAGUAGUC